rnacentral:rRNA from 1 species
GAGUUUGAUCUUGGCUCAGAUUGAACGCUGGCGGCAUGCCUUACACAUGCAAGUCGAACGGCAGCAUGAUCUAGCUUGCUAGAUUGAUGGCGAGUGGCGAACGGGUGAGUAAUACAUCGGAACGUGCCCUGUAGUGGGGAUAACUAGUCGAAAGAUUAGCUAAUACCGCAUACGACCUGAGGGUGAAAGUGGGGGACCGCAAGGCCUCAUGCUAUAGGAGCGGCCGAUGUCUGAUUAGCUAGUUGGUGGGGUAAAGGCCCACCAAGGCGACGAUCAGUAGCUGGUCUGAGAGGACGAUCAGCCACACUGGGACUGAGACACGGCCCAGACUCCUACGGGAGGCAGCAGUGGGGAAUUUGGACAAUGGGCGAAAGCCUGAUCCAGCAAUGCCGCGUGUGUGAAGAAGGCCUCGGUUGUAAG